UAUAAUCUUUACGUUCGACAGCUCUAUUAGCCCGCUUUCCAUCCCCACUGCCACGCACCCACUCUUCUCGUUGCGGUCUAGUCCAGUCCAAGCCACGGCCGUUACACUGCUUCCAAACGGAGGCAAGACAAGAAUCUGUUUAAUGCGAGCGUCGUUCUCAACUGACCAGAUCUUGACAGUCUUGUCCCUUGAUGAAGUUGCAAAUUGGUGGCCAAACGGGUUCCAUGAACAUGCCCAUAUGAUCCUCUUGUGUGCUUCAACCUUUGCCAUGAGUUUGUGACUAACCUCACCA